GACGAACGCUGGCGGCGUGCUUAACACAUGCAAGUCGAACGGAAAGGCCCUGCUUGCCGGGUACUCGAGUGGCGAACGGGUGAGUAACACGUGGGUGAUCUGCCCUUCACUUCGGGAUAAGCCUGGGAAACGGGGUCUAAUACCGGAUAGGAGCCAGGUUUAGUGUGAUGGUUGGAAAGUUUUUUCGGUGUAGGAUGAGCUCGCGGCCUAUCAGCUUGUUGGUGGGGUAAUGGCCUACCAAGGCGGCGACGGGUAGCCGGCCUGAGAGGGUGGACGGCCACAUUGGGACUGAGAUACGGCCCAGACUCCUACGGGAGGCAGAAGUGGGGAAUAUUGCACAAUGGGCGCAAGCCGGAUGCAGAGACGCCGCGUGGGGGAUGACGGCCUUAGGGUUGUAAACGCCUUUCGCUAGGGACGAAGCUUUUUGUGACGGUACCUAGAGAAGAAGCACCGGCUAACUACGUG
rnacentral:rRNA from 1 species